rnacentral:rRNA from 1 species
GAUGAACGCUGGCGGCGUGCCUAAUACAUGCAAGUCGAGCGAACAGACGAGGAGCGUGCUCCUCUGACGUUAGCGGCGGACGGGUAAGUAACACGUGGAUAACCUACCUAUAAGACUGGGGUAACUUCGCGAAACCGGAGCUAAUACCGGAUAAUAUAUUGAACCGCAUGGUUCAAUAGUGAAAGACGGUUUUGCUGUCCCUUAUAGAUGGAUCCGCGUCGCAUUAGCUAGUUGGUAAGGUAACGGCUUACCAAGGCAACGAUGCGUAGCCGACCUGAGAGGGUGAUCGGCCACACUGGAACUGAGACACGGUCCAGACUCCUACGGGAGGCAGCAGUAGGGAAUCUUCCGCAAUGGGCGAAAGCCUGACGGAGCCACGCCGCGUGAGUGAUGAAGGUCUUCGGAUCGUAAAACUCUGUUAUUAGGGAAGAACAAAUGUGAAAGUAACUAUGCACGUCUUGACGGUACCUACACAGAAAGCCACGGCUAACUACGUG